CAGAGCGUCUGUCAGUCCGACUGUAAAUCCAACAUCAGUGUCCUUCAGUUUCACUCAUUCCCAGUAAAGAUGAGGACACACGCUCUGAUCAUCUGCUCUCUGCUGCUGCUGCUCAACGAGUGUAGAGGACAGAUCACCGUCACUCAGAGUCCCUCAAUGACAGCAGCUCAACCAGGACAAACUGUGAACAUCAACUGUAAAACCAGCAGAGAUUUGUACAGUUAUUCUGGGAUAUACUUAUUCAGCUGGUACUUACAGAAACCUGGAGAAGCUCCUAAACUCCUGAUUUAUUGGACCAACCUCAUCCAGUCAGGAACUCCAUCUAGAUUCAGUGGCAGUGGAUCUAACAGUGAUUUCACUCUGACCAUCAGUGGAGUCCAGACUGAAGAUGCUGGACAUUAUUACUGUCAGAGUUUCCAUUGCAGAACAGAUUAUCGUGGUAAUUGUGCAGGUGACUGUGUUCACACAGUGAUAAAGAGUCGUACAAAAACCUCCGUCAGUCAGAGUCACAGUGACUGAACUGAUACUGCAGCUGCUCACACACUUUCACACACUUUCACACACUUUCACACACACUCAACAGUGCAGAAACACAAAUAUGAUCUUAAUAUCAGCUUUGUUGAGCUUCAUCAGUAUUGUUUAAGCUAAUUAAAAAUUCUUUUGAUGUUAUCAUCUGUCACAGACACGUCAGGUUCCACCUCACUCCCUUACCCACGCACUCAAUCACCAGCGUACUGAUCACCGCCACCUGUUACUCAUCAGCACUGCAAUCACCACCACUACAAAAC